rnacentral:tRNA from 1 species
GGGCAAGUGACGCAGCCCGGUAGCGUGCUGCCUUCGCAAGGCAGAAGUCGCGAGUUCGAAUCUCGCCUUGUCCA